AGACCCGAAACCCGGUGAUCUAGCCAUGGGCAGGUUGAAGGUUGGGUAACACUAACUGGAGGACCGAACCGACUAAUGUUGAAAAAUUAGCGGAUGACCUGUGGCUGGGGGUGAAAGGCCAAUCAAACCGGGAGAUAGCUGGUUCUCCCCGAAAGCUAUUUAGGUAGCGCCUCGUGAAUUCAUCUCCGGGGGUAGAGCACUGUUUCGGCUAGGGGGCCAUCCCGGCUUACCAACCCGAUGCAAACUGCGAAUACCGGAGAAUGUUAUCACGGGAGACACACGGCGGGUGCUAACGUCCGUCGUGAAGAGGGAAACAACCCAGACCGCCAGCUAAGGUCCCAAAGUCAUGGUUAAGUGGGAAACGAUGUGGGAAGGCCCAGACAGCCAGGAUGUUGGCUUAGAAGCAGCCAUCAUUUAAAGAAAGCGUAAUAGCUCACUGGUCGAGUCGGCCUGCGCGGAAGAUGUAACGGGGCUAAACCAUGCACCGAAGCUGCGGCAGCGAACGUAUCACCCAAGACAACUUUACGGAGUUGACGAUUGACGGAGCGAAGCGACGUCAAAGCGUUCAUUAAAGUCGAGUUGGCUUAGGGAUACGUUCGUUGGGUAGGGGAGCGUUCUGUAAGCCUGUGAAGGUGUGUCGUGAGGCAUGCUGGAGGUAUCAGAAGUGCGAAUGCUGACAUAAGUAACGAUAAAGCGGGUGAAAAGCCCGCUCGCCGGAAGACCAAGGGUUCCUGUCCAACGUUAAUCGGGGCAGGGUGAGUCGACCCCUAAGGCGAGGCCGAAAGGCGUAGU
rnacentral:rRNA from 2 species